UACGGAGGGUGCAAGCGUUAUCCGGAUUCACUGGGUUUAAAGGGUGCGUAGGCGGAUAGGUAAGUCCGUGGUGAAAUCCUGCAGCUUAACUGCAGAACUGCCGUGGAUACUAUCUAUCUUGAAUGUCGUGGAGGUUAGCGGAAUAUGUCAUGUAGCGGAUUGAAAUGCUUAGAUAUGACAUAGAACACCCAUUGCGAAGGCAGCUAACUACGCGAUAAUUGACGCUGAUGCACGAAAGCGUGGGGAUCAAACAGGA
rnacentral:rRNA from 1 species